rnacentral:miRNA from 1 species
UUUGUAUUGCGUGCGGAAAUUGUUACCAUUUUUGAGCCGAAAUUAAAAUGGUAACAAUUUUUGCACGUAAUACAAA